UGGGGAAUUUUGCACAAUGGGCGCAAGCCUGAUGCAGCGACGCCGCGUGAGGGAUGAAGGCCUUCGGGUUGUAAACCUUUUUCGCUCAUGGUCAAGCCGCAGCUUUGGGUUGUGGUGAGGGUAGUGGGUAAAGAAGCGCCGGCUAACUACGUGCCAGCAGCCGCGGUAAUACGUAGGGCGCGAGCGUUGUCCGGAAUUAUUGGGCGUAAAGGGCUUGUAGGCGGUUGGCCGCGUCUUCCGUGAAAUCCUCUGGCUUAACUGGGGGCGUGCGGUGGGUACGGGUUGACUUGAGUGCGGUAGGGGAGACUGGAAUUCCUGGUGUAGCGGUGGAAUGCGCAGAUAUCAGGAGGAACACCGGUGGCGAAGGCGGGUCUCUGGGCCGUUACUGACGCUGAGGAGCGAAAGCGUGGGGAGCGAACAGG
rnacentral:rRNA from 1 species